AAUAAGAAGCAAAAAAAAAUAAAGCAAUUAGUUUCGACCUAAUUAUUGAUAAAAAAAAAAUUAUCCUUAUUU
rnacentral:tRNA from 1 species